UGGCUCUGGCAUCGAUGAAGAACGCAGCGAAAUGCGAUAAGUAAUGUGAAUUGCAGAAUUCAGUGAAUCAUCGAAUCUUUGAACGCACAUUGCGCCCGCCAGUAUUCUGGCGGGCAUGCCUGUUCGAGCGUCAUUUCAACCCUCAAGCCCCCGGGCUUGGUGUUGGGGAUCGGCAUCCAGGCGCUGGCACCUCCGGGAGCCGCGCCCCGCCGUCCCUCAAAUACAGUGGCGGUCACGCCGUGUGUACCUCAGCGUAGUAGCAACACCUCGCUCCGGGACCCUUCUGUGACCACGCCGUAAAACCCCCGACUUUUUUCUGGUUGACCUCGAAUCAGGUAGGACUACCCGCUGA
rnacentral:misc_RNA from 1 species